AACGAACGCUGGCGGCAGGCCUAACACAUGCAAGUCGAGCGAGACCUUCGGGUCUAGCGGCGGACGGGUUAGUAACGCGUGGGAACGUGCCCUUCACUACGGAAUAGUCCCGGGAAACUGGGUUUAAUACCGUAUACGCCCUUCGGGGGAAAGAAUUUCGGUGAAGGAUCGGCCCGCGUUGGAUUAGGUAGUUGGUGCGGUAACGGCGCACCAAGCCGACGAUCCAUAGCUGGUUUGAGAGGAUGAUCAGCAACACUGGGACUGAGACACGGCCCAGACUCCUACGGGAGGCAGCAGUGGGGAAUCUUAGACAAUGGGGGAAACCCUGAUCUAGCCAUGCCGCGUGAGUGACGAAGGCCCUAGGGUCGUAAAGCUCUUUCACCAGGGAAGAUAAUGACGGUACCUGGAGAAGAAACCCCGGCUAACUCCGUGCCAGCCGCCGCCGUAACAC
rnacentral:rRNA from 1 species